GGCUGUGUGGUCUAGUGGUAUGAUUCUCGCUUAGGGUGCGAGAGGUCCCGAGUUCAAUUUUUGGCACAGCCC
rnacentral:tRNA from 1 species